AUUGAACGCUGGCGGCAUGCCUUACAUAUGCAAGUCGAACGGCAGCACGGAGCUUGCUCUGGUGGCGAGUGGCGAACGGGUGAGUAAUAUAUCGGAACGUACCCUAGAGUGGGGGAUAACGUAGCGAAAGUUACGCUAAUACCGCAUACGAUCUAAGGAUGAAAGUGGGGGAUCGCAAGACCUCAUGCUCGUGGAGCGGCCGAUAUCUGAUUAGCUAGUUGGUAGGGUAAAAGCCUACCAAGGCAUCGAUCAGUAGCUGGUCUGAGAGGACGACCAGCCACACUGGAACUGAGACACGGUCCAGACUCCUACGGGAGGCAGCAGUGGGGAAUUUUGGACAAUGGGCGAAAGCCUGAUCCAGCAAUGCCGCGUGAGUGAAGAAGGCCUUCGGGUUGUAAAGCUCUUUUGUCAGGGAAGAAACGGUGGGAGCUAAUAUCUCUUGCUAAUGACGGUACCUGAAGAAUAAGCACCGGCUAACUACGUGCCAGCAGCCGCGGUAAUACGUAGGGUGCAAGCGUUAAUCGGAAAUACUGGGCGUAAAGCGUGCGCAGGCGGGUUUGUAAGUCUGAUGUGAAAUCCCCGGGCUCAACCUGGGGAAUUGCAUUGGAGACUGCAAAGGCUAAAUUUUGCCCGGGGGGGGUAGAAUUUCCACGGUUACCAGUGAAAAGGGUAGAUAAGGGGGGGAACCCCCGAGGGCGAAGGCCGCCCCCCUGGUCCAGGAUGGACGUUCAAGCACGAAAGCGGGGGGAGCAAACAGGAUUAGAUACCCCGGGGUAGUCCACGCCCUAAACGAUGUCUACUAGUUGUCGGUUCUUAAUUGACUUGUAAACGCAGCUAACGCGUGAAGUAGACCGCCUGGGGAGUACGGUCGCAAGAUUAAAACUCAAAGGAAUUGACGGGGACCCGCACAAGCGGUGGAUGAUGUGGAUUAAUUCGAUGCAACGCGAAAAACCUUACCUACCCUUGACAUGGCUGGAAUCCUUGAGAGAUCAGGGAGUGCUCGAAAGAGAACCAGUACACAGGUGCUGCAUGGCUGUCGUCAGCUCGUGUCGUGAGAUGUUGGGUUAAGUCCCGCAACGAGCGCAACCCUUGUCAUUAGUUGCUACGAAAGGGCACUCUAAUGAGACUGCCGGUGACAAACCGGAGGAAGGUGGGGAUGACGUCAAGUCCUCAUGGCCCUUAUGGGUAGGGCUUCACACGUCAUACAAUGGUACAUACAGAGCGCCGCCAACCCGCGAGGGGGAGCUAAUCGCAGAAAGUGUAUCGUAGUCCGGAUUGUAGUCUGCAACUCGACUGCAUGAAGUUGGAAUCGCUAGUAAUCGCGGAUCAGCAUGUCGCGGUGAAUACGUUACAGGGUCU
rnacentral:rRNA from 1 species